UAAUGACUUGAACUCUUCAUGCUCUCAUUACACACUCUUACAGUGAUCCUUCAAAGAUUGAUCCCCAUGCCUCUGCAGUUAAGAGAAUAUAAUGCCCUACUCUAUGUCCUUUCCUCAGAACGCAUUGCUUUCUCAAUGUAGAAGAAUGCAAAGGAGUUGGGGAGUAAACCCUUCUUGACAGAAUACAAAAUAUUACUUCAAAUAUUUAAAUCAAUUUCACAUAAUUUGGAAGGCAAAAAGAAAGCAAUUUUUGUUAGCCUAACAAUAAUCUUAUCGUAGGAAAGAACCAAAACAUAGCAACCAAAUCUACACGCAUACCCGCCGAUCUUCAAAAUCUGCAAUGUCAUCAUCAACUUCAUCCUCACUAUCUUCAUUGGACGUUACUUGUUCUAUCGCCAUAGGCUUCAAGUGCAAAAAAGAAUGAUUCAAUUAUUGGGUAAGAGUUGAGAGGAAAGAAAGACUAUAUGGAUUAAGGUAUAAGAUAUUAUAAGAAAAAGAAAUGCAGUAUAAGCAUAAAUUAGUCUCUAGACAAUAUCAAAAAGCUCUGAAACAUCCUAUUCAUCAAAGAUGCAAAGUAGAAUUAUACAGUAAUAAGUAAC
rnacentral:lncRNA from 1 species